rnacentral:rRNA from 1 species
GAUGAACGCUAGCGGCAGGCCUAACACAUGCAAGUCGAGGGGUAACAUAGAGUGCUUGCACUCUGAUGACGACCGGCGCACGGGUGAGUAACGCGUAUACAAUCUGCCUCAUACUAGGGGAUAGCCCAGAGAAAUUUGGAUUAAUACCCUAUAGUAUCUUUUAGAGUCAUCUCUUUAAGAUUAAAGGUUACGGUAUGAGAUGAGUAUGCGUUCUAUUAGUUAGUAGGUGAGGUAACGGCUCACCUAGACCACGAUAGAUAGGGGCCCUGAGAGGGGGAUCCCCCACACUGGUACUGAGACACGGACCAGACUCCUACGGGAGGCAGCAGUGAGGAAUAUUAGACAAUGGGCGAAAGCCUGAUCUAGCCAUGCCGCGUGCAGGAUGACGGCCCUAUGGGUUGUAAACUGCUUUUAUACAGGAAGAAAAAACUCUACGUGUAGAGCCUUGACGGUACUGUAAGAAUAAGGAUCGGCUAACUCCGUGCCAGCAGCCGCGGUAAUACGGAGGAUCCAAGCGUUAUCCGGAAUUAUUGGGUUUAAAGGGUCCGUAGGUGGACAAUUAAGUCAGAGGUGAAAUCCUGCAGCUCAACUGUAGAAUUGCCUUUGAAACUGGUUGUCUUGAGUCAUUAUGAAGUGGUUAGAAUGUGUAGUGUAGCGGUGAAAUGCAUAGAUAUUACACAGAAUACCAAUUGCGAAGGCAGAUCACUAAUAAUGUACUGACACUGAUGGACGAAAGCGUGGGUAGCGAACAGGAUUAGAUACCCUGGUAGUCCACGCCGUAAACGAUGGUCACUAGCUGUUCGGACUUCGGUCUGAGUGGCUAAGCGAAAGUGAUAAGUGACCCACCUGGGGAGUACGUUCGCAAGAAUGAAACUCAAAGGAAUUGACGGGGGCCCGCACAAGCGGUGGAGCAUGUGGUUUAAUUCGAUGAUACGCGAGGAACCUUACCAGGGCUUAAAUGUAGAGUGACAGGUCUAGAGAUAGA